CAGACUCCUACGGGAGGCAGCAGUGGGGAAUAUUGCACAAUGGGGGAAACCCUGAUGCAGCGACGCCGCGUGAGCGAUGAAGUAUUUCGGUAUGUAAAGCUCUAUCAGCAGGGAAGAAAAUGACGGUACCUGACUAAGAAGCCCCGGCUAACUACGUGCCAGCAGCCGCGGUAAUACGUAGGGGGCUAGCGUUAUCCGGAAUUACUGGGCGUAAAGGGUGCGUAGGUGGUUUCUUAAGUCAGAGGUGAAAGGCUACGGCUCAACCGUAGUAAGCCUUUGAAACUGGGAAACUUGAGUGCAGGAGAGGAGAGUGGAAUUCCUAGUGUAGCGGUGAAAUGCGUAGAUAUUAGGAGGAACACCAGUUGCGAAGGCGGCUCUCUGGACUGUAACUGACGUUGAGGCUCGAAAGCGUGGGGAGCAAACAGGAUUAGAUACCCCCGUACAG
rnacentral:rRNA from 1 species